GACGAACGCUGGCGGCGUGCUUAACACAUGCAAGUUGAACGGAAAGGCCCUGCUUUUGUGGGGUGCUCGAGUGGUGAACGGGUGAGUAACACGUGAGUAACCUGCCCUUGACUUUGGGAUAACUUCAGGAAACUGGGGCUAAUACCGGAUAGGAGCUCCUGCUGCAUGGUGGGGGUUGGAAAGUUUCGGCGGUUGGGGAUGGACUCGCGGCUUAUCAGCUUGUUGGUGGGGUAGUGGCUUACCAAGGCUUUGACGGGUAGCCGGCCUGAGAGGGUGACCGGCCACAUUGGGACUGAGAUACGGCCCAGACUCCUACGGGAGGCAGCAGUGGGGAAUAUUGCACAAUGGGCGGAAGCCUGAUGCAGCAACGCCGCGUGCGGGAUGACGGCCUUCGGGUUGUAAACCGCUUUCGCCUGUGACGAAGCGUGAGUGACGGUAAUGGGUAAAGAAGCACCGGCUAACUACGUG
rnacentral:rRNA from 1 species